rnacentral:rRNA from 1 species
AACGUAGGAGACAAACGUUAUCCGGAGUUACUGGGCGUAAAGGGCGUGUAGGUGGUUUCGUAAGUCUGGCAUGAAAUUUUUCGGCUUAACCGGGAAAGGUCGUCGGAUACUGCGGAGCUAGAGGACGGUAGAGGCGUGUGGAAUUCCGGGUGUAGCGGUGGAAUGCGUAGAGAUCCGGAAGAACACCGGUGGCGAAGGCGGCCUGCUGGGCUAUGGCUGACACUGAGGCGCGACAGCGUGGGGAGCAAACAGG